rnacentral:rRNA from 1 species
GACGAACGCUGGCGGCGUGCUUAACACAUGCAAGUCGAACGGAAAGGCCCUGCUUGCAGGGUGCUCGAGUGGCGAACGGGUGAGUAACACGUGGGUGAUCUGCCCCUUACUUUGGGAUAAGCCUGGGAAACUGGGUCUAAUACUGGAUAGGACCAUGCUGUAGGUGGUGUGGUGGAAAGAUUAGUUUCGGUAAGGGAUGAGCUCGCGGCCUAUCAGCUUGUUGGUGGGGUAAUGGCCUACCAAGGCGUCGACGGGUAGCCGGCCUGAGAGGGUGGUCGGCGACAUUGGGACUGAGAUACGGCCCAGACUCCUACGGGGGGCAGCAGUGGGGAAGAUUGCACAAUGGGCGCAAGCCUGAUGCAGCGACGCCGCGUGGGGGAUGACGGCCUUCGGGUUGUAAACUCCUUUCAGCCAUGACGAAGCCCUUGUGGUGACGGUAGUGGUAGAAGAAGCACCGGCUAACUACGUG